AGUGAACGCUGGCGGCAGGCCUAACACAUGCAAGUCGAACGGCAGCACAGCAGUAGCAAUACUGUGGGUGGCGAGUGGCGGACGGGUGAGGAAUACAUCGGAAUCUACCUUGUCGUGGGGGAUAACGUAGGGAAACUUACGCUAAUACCGCAUACGAACUAUGGUUGAAAGCGGCGGACCGCAAGGCGUCGCGCGAUUGGAUGAGCCGAUGUCCGAUUAGCUAGUUGGCGGGGUAAAGGCCCACCAAGGCGACGAUCGGUAGCUGGUCUGAGAGGAUGAUCAGCCACACUGGAACUGAGACACGGUCCAGACUCCUACGGGAGGCAGCAGUGGGGGAAUAUUGGACAAUGGGCGCAAGCCUGAUCCAGCCAUGCCGCGUGUGUGAAGAAGGCCUCGGGUUGUAAGACUCUUUGUCUAGGAGAACGGU
rnacentral:rRNA from 1 species